AUUGAACGCUGGCGGCAGGCCUAACACAUGCAAGUCGAGCGGAGCGGCGGGCGGGGGAGUGAUGCCUAGGAAUCUGCCUGGUAGUGGGGGAUAAGGUCCGGAAACGGGCGCUAAUACCGCAUCCUUUCAGUUGAGCCUAGGUCGGAUUAGCUAGUUGGUGGGGUAAAGGCCGCACAAGGCGACGAUCGGUAGCUGGUCUGAGAGGAUGAUGAGGCACACUGGAACUGAGACACGGUCCAGACUCCUACGGGAGGCAGCAGUGGGGAAUAGUGGACAAUGGGCGAAAGCCUGAUCCAGCCAUGCCGCGUGUGUGAAGAAGGUCUUCGGAUUGUAAAGCACUUUAAGUUGGGAGGCGUUACCAACAGAAUAAGCACCGGCUAACUUCGUGCCAGCAGCCGCGGUAAUAC
rnacentral:rRNA from 1 species